GAAGGAGGUCCUAAGUCUUUGGACAUGCAGUUCUUGGAUUUCACAUUUCACUAAGCAAUUGAAACCGCAGAGAGAGAAAGUUGACAUUACAUAACAGAAUCAGCUGCUUUGCAUUUGGCAGUAAUGGUUUGAAAGUUCCAGCGGUUUGCUACUCUGUGUGUGUUACCUGUAUGUCCUGCAGUAGUUCUUGUUUCCUACGGCGGAUGCUCUCCAACUCCUGUCUCUCCUCAGGACUCAGAUCAUCAGGUACUAAGAGGGGGGAGAGAGAGAGCGAGGGGGGAGGUGAGAAUAACAGUGCUCUGGGUCACCAUGGCAACAUAGCCUAGAUCAAUCAAAAUAAUACCUCCCCAACACCCUCCUAGCCACUGACUGGGGUGACACACACACACACUACAAACCAGCCACAUCCCUCUCUCUCCAUCCCACCCUCUCCCCAUCCCGCAAGCACUCACAAGACCAACCAAAACCUUCCAGACGCCCACACAAGCCUGAACAAUAUAUGCAGUACAAAGAUAAGAGAAAGAGGGAACCACAUGUCCAUCGGGGAGGAAGAAAGGACACACCCAUUACACCAUAGGGCAGCUGAAGUAGGCUGGAGCAGGGGACCAAACUAUCAGCUCCCAUUUUAACAUUGAAGCUGAGAAUAACAUCACUUCCGCGAGCACACACACUCCCAAAAUCCAUGUGAUAUUUCAUCAGAGGAGGAGAGGGGGGGGGUAUUUAUUUUUCUCCCUCGCUUCCCCCCUCCGCAGUGUUAGAGGCAUCACUACAGACCCGUGUUCGAUCCCAGGCUGUAUCACCACUGGCCAUGACCGGGAGUUCCGGGUUAGGUGAGGUUUUGGCCGGGGGGGGGCUUUACUUGGCUCAUCACAUUCUAACCACUCCUUGUGGCUGGCCAGGUGGCUGCAGGCUGACUGCGGUCGUCAGUUGAACAGUGUUUCCUCAGACACAUUGGUGCAGCUGGCUUCCGGGUUAAGCGGGCAGGUGAGUGCGAUAUGGCGGGUCAUGUUUCAGAGGACGCAUGACUUGACCUUCGCCUCUCCUGAGCCCAUUGGAGAGUUGCAACAAUGACACAAGAUCGUAACUGAAAUUGGGAAAAGGGGGAUAAAAUAAAUUAUCUGGCUUAUGUGAGCAUUAAAAAUGUCCAUAAUUUCAGCCCAAGCAGCGAACUGUCAACCAUGGGGGCCAGAGUGACAACCAGUGAGACGGAGAAUGCAGCCCUGGGGGCCAAAGUAACAGCGAGGGAGAGGUGGAGGUGCUGAAGAGAGAGACCUCCAGAACAUCAAAGUUUGUCAAGUGCGCCGAAUACAACAGGUGUAGAGACCUUACAGUGAAAUGCUUACUUACAGGCUCUAACCAACAGUGCAAAAAAAGGUAUUAGGUGAACAAUAGGUAAGUAAAGAAAUAAAAACAACAGUAAAAAACAGUAGCGAGGCUAUAAAAGUAACAAGGCUAUACAGACACCGGUUAGUCAGGCUGAUUAAGGUAGUAUGUACAUGUAGAUAUGGUUAAAGUGACUAUGCAUAUAUGAUGAACAGAGAGCAGCAGUAGCGUAAAGAGGGGUUGGCGGGUGGUGGGACACAAUCCAGGCUAGUAUUGGUUGUUUACCUCAGUUGAAAAGUAGAAAAUGGCCCAUUUCUAAUCUUCUGGCAGUAGACCAGGGUUUCCAAAACUCGUGCCUGCCCCCUCCCCCACCCACCCCGGGUGCAUUUUUGGUUUUUGCCCUAGCGCUCGCUACCAACUCAUUGCAAACAUUUGAUUGUUUGAGUCAGAUGUGUAGUGCUAAGGCAAAAACCAAAACGUGCACCCGGGUGGGGCCCCAGGACUAAGUUUAGGAAACCCUGGUUUAGACUAUGCAGUUUAUACUAUGCAUUUCAUUUUCUCUUCUGUGUUCACAGCCAGACCAAAGGUGACCUUCUCUGCUUCACUGGCUGAUAUUGUAGGACCCCUCACUACUGCUGAAACCAUAGUGGUCCAGCCCAAAAUCUUUACAAACAUCAGCAAGGCCUACAACCCAGAUACAGGUACUGCAUCUUCACAGCACAAGUGAAAGGAGUGUACUACUUCCGAUCCACUGCCUGUGAUUAUCUACCCUUCAAACACACAGGUGUAACUAUGUAUAAGAAUGGAGGGAAAGUGUAAAUGUGAUUCACCCUGAUAGUGGAGGUUAUGAGUAUGUAAAUAAUGCAGCCACUCUAGAGCUGAAAGAGGGGGAUGCGAUAUUCUUGAGUCUCCCGUCAGGCAGGAGGCUUCACCGUUACCUUUUACAGACAAACUUUACGGUAUGCUGCCUGUAAAAAAAAAUAACUGUCUGGCAAUGUAUUUUAGAACACAUUUUUACCACAUUCUUGCCAGGAUAAGCCCGUGCACAUGCCUGCACAUUUAGGAGAGGAAGUAGUCGUGGGCCUAUGUGGGCGGACAUCCAUUUUAAUCAAUCCAUUGAAUAUACAUAUAUAUUACAAAGAAAUCCAUUUUACAUGCGUUUUAGGCAGGUCCUAGAAAACAUUAUACGACUAAUGAAAUGUCAUUUCAAAAUAAUGUAAUUUUUUGUUGUUUAAUGAUGUUACUGGUCUGUGUAGUCUAUCGGCUACAUGGCUGUGCCAUGCACAGGAAAUCAAACGUUGUUUUGUUCAUUAAAACAGACGACACUUAGGCUACACCGAUCACAGUCAACACAUUUUUAUAGUAGACUAAGAAUAUAAUGAAUAACAGAAAAAAAUACAAAAUAAUAUUUUUCCACAUUUGCGUCACAGCAACAUGUGGAACCACUGUCCUAUAUAAAAAAAGUGAUACUUUGAAACAGAGCCCAAGCCCAUUUCUUUUUCAUCCACGUUUAAUCUCUUUCCAACCCUCACUCCACUUUGUUAGGGAGCAGGCGUGGGGGUCUUACAUUGAGAGUAUCCUCAUCAUGAUACCCAUAGAAAAGAAUCAUCUAGAUUUCAAAAGCAUGCAAGUCUCAUCUUCAUAUUUCACAUAUUCAUAUUCAUCUUCAUAUUUCACAUAUUCAUAUUUCACAUAUUCAUAUUCAUAUUCAUCUUCAUAUUUCACAUAUUCAUAUUCAUCUUCAUAUUUCACAACCUCCGUGGGCUUUUGGAGAUGCCUAUACACGAUCAAGUAAAAUAAUGUACACAAGCUCUGUCUCACGUCAGACGUUUCUCAAACGUCAAAUUUAGAAGUUGUUCCAAACGUCAAAGUUAGAAGUGUUUAAGUUUAAAUUUAGGCGUUAAAUCCCAAUUUUUAAAGGUUAGUGUUAAGUCUAGGCAUUAACUCAGAAUUCUUAAGGUUAGGCAAUCACUCCGAAUGGUUAAAGUAAGGAUUAAGAUUUGGGGUAGGCUUAAAGCAAAAAUAUGAAAAACUACUUUCUAUUUGCUGGACUCAUAAAUACAACCUUAGCAUCUGCCUCUGAUUCCAAACACCCAUCCGCCAUCCCCGUCCACAACGCAAAACCAAAAACUUGUAGGUAACGGCGUUCACUGUUGCCCCUAGUGGCCGGUUUCCACAUCCAUCUCCCGACGUCUUCAGACUAGGGCUGGGCAAUAUGGCCAAAAUAUCAUAUGGCAUUUAAGUAUUUUAUGCUUUUGAUUAAUAAAAGUUCUACAUUUGCUUUAUAAGUAGUGUGUGACCCUAGGGUGGCAACACAUAUAUUCUAAAUUAUUUCAAUGGGUCUUUCUCCAUUCUGAUUGUAUUGAACAGUAUAAAACAAUCAGCCUGAAAACAAUGACCGGUAGAAGCUACAGUAAUUUUCAUUAUUGUUAGCAAUGAUUUAGGAAUCCUUGUGAGUAAGUAUUAGCUAGGUUGCCACUUGUUGUUCACCUAUUGAAAUUGAACUUCAGUUCAUGGAAAUAAAUAGCUAGCUAGCUAGCUACU